UUCGUGUUACCAAUCCCUUCCUUAUUGUUCUGUGAAGAUUGCUUCGCAUUUUCGCCAUUACAGGCGCGUUGAGUUUGCCGGCGAGUGUUUGCCAUGGCGACGUAGGAGGGAACCCUCGGGCAAGAUUUGGAGAUGAUUUUUUUUGAAUAUGCUUUAGAAUUUUAAUUUAAAAACUCAGAUAUUUAUGUUAACCGACAUUUCAUCUCCCAAUAUUCUUCCUUACCAUUUCAUCUUCACUCAACUUCUCAAUAUAGGUUCCUCCAUUCCCUGUUUGUCGGUUACCCUCACUGAAACCACAUAUCAAGCCACCACUUCUCCUCUGCCGUCGACCUUACCAUCGCCGGUGACAUCUAACAUCGACGAUGUUCACUCGAUCAUACUCCCUUGUUCGGUAAUUUUAGACUCCCUUCAUCAAUUAGUUGGAAUCGAAUAAAGAUGAAAACCCCCAAAUUGAGUAAACCCUAACCUAUUAAAUCUUCUCUCUCUUUUGGAUUUAUCCGGUGUCGUCGGUCCUUCCAUUUGACGGAGGCGUCGUCCUUAUUCGUUGGUGCUACUAAUACUGUCGGAGAUGAUACCUUGCUUGUUGGUGUUGAUCUUUGUGUUCUUGUUCCUCUUCUCUGCUACUCGUUGCUAGCCCGAGAAUAAAUGGGGAACACAAAUAAAUCCAAUGAUACAGUGGCCUGAUAGAUCAUUUACUCUUGGUUUCGCGCAAGACUUAGCUUGGAAGCGUUCUGGUCUGUUGCCUAGGUCCUACUUUUGGUAGAAGUGAUCCUAGAGUACGGGCAGAACUAUGUGAUUAACGGAGGUAACAGGUUUGAAAAGCCUCAUCCUGAAUUCCCUAUUCCCGUAUCCGGUAUACUGAAUCUCUGUUGAUUUGUUCAAAUAUAGCCAUGUUAUCCUAUGAAAACUGAAACUCUUAAGCUGCAUAAUUGUUCCUUCCGACCCAAGGGAACCCUUAAAUUAUGAGCAAUUCUCCAGUCCAAUUAUAAGUUCAGUGGAUGCAAGGACAUUAAUAUAAUUGUCCAAACAUACAGUCGAAAACUCAGAGAUUCGCAGAUUGAGUUCUAAAAGGGAUAGAUGAGACUAACAAUAUAUGGAGUAAGUUAAAAAGAUACAAGAACGGUAAUCAUCCUGAGUUUUUUUGUUAGGUUUACUGCUACCUUUAUGUUCCCAGCCUAGCUCCUAAUAAGAAACUUUUAUCAAAACCAAGGUAGCUAACUGCUUCUUUUCAGUUAUUACAUUAGGAAGAAGAAGGACCAUAUUACCAGAAAAUUAUGUGAAGUAUCUAAAGCCAACAAUUGAGAAUUCCUCACUUGAAUGUCUUUGGUAUUCGUCCCUCCACACUAUCUUAAUCCCCAACCCCAACACGCAAAAUGGAAACACCGUAAUAUGCGUCUGUUAAGAACUUGUAAUAUGCGUCUGUUAAGCACUUGUAAUAUGCGUCUGUUAACCUCAAUGGUAUGAUGGAAACAUCUCUAGACCUGGGUGACGUAAAAAUGAAAGCAUUUGACUAAUUACGCUUCCUAAACAACUAUCUCUAUUUUCUGUGAUUGUGUUAGUAGUUCCAACUUUACCACACCAAAUUACCUGCUUCCACUACAGUCCUUAUACAACAUAUACAUUGUCCACUUCAUUACCUACAAAUUUCACAUCUUGAUUCACCCAAAUAAUCAUUCAUUGAUUCCCUUUUUCAAAAUUCAUGUUCUUACAUUUUUCCAAGCAAUUCAAAAACAUGCAUCAGUUUUCUCUACAAAUACCUUUAUCAUAAGGAAAUCAAGCAAACCCAAUACCCAUCAUUCUAUCCACCUGUAUAAUAAUAACAAUCAUCAAACAAAAAACACUCUUGACUAAGCUGAGUAUCAUUGCUGAACAAACCAAUUCGAUAGGAAAACACUGGAACUAUUACAGUAGAAACAAUAAUAAGGACCAACAACAAUCAAACACCAAUCAAAUAGAAACCCAAUUCCAAAACUCAAAAUAGUUGGAAAUAAAACCAGUACGGAGCUGUAUGAAAUUUCCAAAUUAAAAUUGGAAAUUAAACUUAUGGCCAAUAUUCUGAAAUCAAAUUUGGGAAAAUAAAACUCAAAAAUUCAAAAAACGGAAACAUACCUCUAUG